AAAUAGAACUUUGCAGAGAGAGUUAAGAGGGCGUGAACCGUUAAUUGGCAAACGAAUCGGAGCCACGAAGUCGUUUCGCUGAUAAGUUGGGCCGAGUUCAGCUAAGUUUACCCCUAAAAAAGGAGGCUUGGUGUAUUCUCGUAGUUCAACCUAAAAUUGUAAACGUACACUGCAACCAGUUAGACCAUUGAAAAUGGGCCCAGUUUUUUUAGGGGGCAACUUCUAAUAAAACGAACCAUUUGUUGGCUAGUGUUUAGUAAUAGCAUGGCAAGCCUUGUGUUUGUUUGUGUUAUUGGGCGCUAGCUAGUGAACUAUUUUCAAAUACUGACUGGCAAAAUAAAAAUCGCUUACAUAAGCGUUAUACAAAAUGCAAUUGUUUAUAUUAUUGUCUACAUACUUGACCAUAGGGUUUAAGCUCAACAUUUUUGAAUUCAGACUUGCAAGCUACCAAUGGGGCAACUCUUGGUGCUUGUAUAGAUUUGUCUAAUCGGGUGUUGACUUGAUUUUAUGCGCUUGAGUAUGAAGCGAUUGGAUAGUAAUAUAAAAUAAUUCGCAAUUUAUUAGCAGUGAGUAGGUCGGCUUUCCGAACGACCCGUCUUGAAACACGGACCAAGGAGUCUAAUUAGGCAUCAGUCGAUCGGUCUUGAUAGGCCAGAGUUGGGAUUUUGUAUUCCAAAUUGAAGGCGUAGAGAAAUCAAAUCAUGUGAUCAUUUGGGUUAAAACAACCCUUAUGCGCAACAUGUGCCUGUUCGUAUAACAAUGUUAGCAAUAACUUGUUGGGCGGAGCAAAGAGAUGCUUGAUUGGUACCCGAAAGAUGGUGAACUAUGCUUGGGCAAAUUGAAGCCAGAGGAAACUCUGGUGGAGGAUUGUAGCGAUUCUGACGUGCAAAUCGAUCGUCAGACCUGAGUAUAGGGGCGAAAGACUAAUCGAACCAUC
rnacentral:rRNA from 1 species